rnacentral:rRNA from 1 species
GUAGGGAAUAUUGGACAAUGGGGGGAACCCUGAUCCAGCCAUGCCGCGUGGAGGAAGACUGCCCUCUGGGUUGUAAACUCCUUUUAUAUGGGAAGAACCGUCCUCAUUAAUGAGUGACCUGACGGUACCAUAGGAAUAAGCACCGGCUAACUCCGUGCCAGCAGCCGCGGUAAUCCGGAGGGUGCAAGCGUUAUCCGGAUUCACUGGGUUUAAAGGGUGCGUAGGCGGAUAAAUAAGUCAGUGGUGAAAUCAACGGGCUCAACCUGUUAACUGCCAUUGAUACUGUGUAUCUUGAAUAUGAGAGAGGUAGGCGGAAUGUUGCAUGUAGCGGUGAAAUGCUUAGAUAUGCUAUGGAACACCGAUUGCGAAGGCAGCUUACUAUUUCGUAAUUGACGCUGAGGCACGAAAGCGUGGGUAGCGAACAGGAUUAGAUACCCUUGUAGUCC